GCAAUCCAUUUGGAGGAUGGCAAAGUUCUUGUAAAAGCACAAGUUCACCACUCACAGUCUCUUAGAAAAAAGGAACUGAUGCCUUGGGGAAGUAUUAGUAGCAAUAAAACCAUAAUUGCUGGCCAUUGCCAGUGUACAGCUGGGCUUGGUGGUGUUUGCUGUCAUGUUUGUGCAGUUCUUUACAGUGUAAUUAGUGCUACAUCACUACCUUGCACUGCAAAGGAAAAUCAAUGGUUAGACACACACCCCAGACGUUCAGUAGCUCUUAUAAACAAAAUCGCGGAUCUCAAUACCAGGGCCUCCCCGACCCUAAAAUGACAGGAGUGCAAAUUUUUUUUCCCGGCUUUGCCGCCCCUUAAAAAAAUUUAUAUACGAAAACAUAUAGUUGAUUUUAACAUAAGCUUUAGUUAACAUCUGGAUUAGUUAUAUUUCUGGAUAAAUAACAGUAUCACUUAAAAUCAUACACGAUACAAGAUUGCUGAUAAAUGACGAGACACGAGAAUAUCUUGCAAAUUGAAUUGCAAAUCGAAUAGUGAGACUUAGAUCGGCACUUUACGCGAUUUUUUUUGGGCAAAUUCCUCAAUCGCUUCAUUGAGAUCAAUAUUUUCGACAAUUUCUCUUUCGAUUGAAAUCAUUGCUAACCCAUCUAGUUUUUCUUGUCCCAUUAAUGAGCGAAGAUAUGUUUUUAUUAGUUUCAAUUUGCAAAAACUUCUUUCUCCUUGCGCAACAGAAACUGGAAGGGUCAGCAAAAUUCGUAAUGCAAUCACAGUAUUAGGAUAAACUGACGACAAUCCAUUUUGAACGAUAAAGGUCAAGGCAGCAAGAGGACAAGAAUCAAUUAUUUUUCCGUCUUCGCUUGGUAAAGGAAAUCGAUGGGAGAGAGAUCGCAAUUCGAUAAAAAGAUCAUCUGGAGAAAUGUCGCAUUUUUCUCCGACGGACAAUGCGUUAUUUAAGGCAGUACAACAUGUUUUCAAUUGGUAAUCGUCAAGUUUCUGAAUAGUUGGAAUAUCGUAUAGAAAACGGAAAAGAGAAUUGUGUUCAUUUAACAAAUCAAACCUUUCAACGACUGAAUUAAUGGCAGUGUCAAUCACGUAAAAAAAUAUUUCCGUCCGAAACUUAGCCAUUGGAUCCAAAAUCGGUUCAUCUCUUGAUUCAUAAUUGAAUUGACGACGAGUUCGACGAACUCGGACUGUUGGUUCAGAUGGAAAAUUUGGCUCAACUUCUAUUUCUUUUGCAAGUUCUUUACCAGUAGCGAUAACUCCAGCGAAGCCCUCGUCGGAUCUUAGAUUGACGAGAAACUGUUUUGUUCGAUCCAGAUGUUUUGUGGCUUGCGACAAAUCUGUUUCCACUCGUUGAAGAAUUUUACUAGUAACAUUAAUUUCAAAAAGAACAUCAUGCCACAGAACAAGAGAGCAGAUUCGACACUCAAAAUUCCAUUAGAAGAUAUGCGGGGUCAAGGCUAUGACAACGGUGCAAACAUGAGCGGUAGACAUAACGGCGUUCAAAAGCGAAUCCAAGAUCUGAAUCCGAGAGCUUUGUUUGUGCCUUGUAACGCGCACAGUUUGAAUCUCGUUCUUAAUGACGCUGCAAGCUGUUGCGUAGCGGUCGUUUCUUUUUUUGGCAUUAUUCAAGCCCUUUAUGUGUUUUUCUCUUCGUCAACUAAACGCUGGCAAGUUCUUCUUCAAUUUGUCCCUAACCUAACACUUAAGUCAUUAAGUGAAACUCGCUGGGAAAGUCGUAUCGAUGCCAUCAAGCCCCUUCGCUAUCAACUUGGAAAUGUGUAUGACGCCUUACAGCAUCUGGCAAACGAUGAAACUUUAGUGGGGCCCAAUGGAACAAAAACGCGUGCUGACGCAUUUGCACUAGCAACAAACAUCGCCAAAUUCAACUUUAUCUGCUCUCUUGUUCUGUGGCAUGAUGUUCUUUUUGAAAUUAAUGUUGAAUGAAAAUUCUUCAACGAGUGGAAACAGAUUUGUCGCAAGCCACAAAACAUCUGGAUCGAACAAAACAGUUUCUCGUCAAUCUAAGAUCCGACGAGGGCUUCGCUGGAGUUAUCGCUACUGGUAAAGAACUUGCAGAAGAAAUAGAAGUUGAGCCAAAUUUUCCAUCUGAACCAACAGUCCGAGUUCGUCGAACUCGUCGUCAAUUCAAUUAUGAAUCAAGAGAUGAACCGAUUUUGGAUCCAAUGGCUAAGUUUCGGACGGAAAUAUUUUUUUACGUGAUUGACACUGCCAUUAAUUCAGUCGUUGAAAGGUUUGAUUUGUUAAAUGAACACAAUUCUCUUUUCCGUUUUCUAUACGAUAUUCCAACUAUUCAGAAACUUGACGAUUACCAAUUGAAAACAUGUUGUACUGCCUUAAAUAACGCAUUGUCCGUCGGAGAAAAAUGCGACAUUUCUCCAGAUGAUCUUUUUAUCGAAUUGCGAUCUCUCUCCCAUCGAUUUCCUUUACCAAGCGAAGACGGAAAAAUAAUUGAUUCUAGUCCUCUUGCUGCCUUGACCUUUAUCGUUCAAAAUGGAUUGUCGUCAGUUUAUCCUAAUACUGUGAUUGCAUUACGAAUUUUGCUGACCCUUCCAGUUUCUGUUGCGCAAGGAGAAAAGUUUUUGCAAAUUGAAACUAAUAAAAACAUAUCUUCGCUCGUUAAUGGGACAAGAAAAACUAGAUGGGUUAGCAAUGAUUUCAAUCGAAAGAGAAAUUGUCGAAAAUAUUGAUCUCAAUGAAGCGAUUGAGGAAUUUGCCCAAAAAAAAUCGCGUAAAGUGCCGAUCUAAGUCUCACUAUUCGAUUUGCAAUUCAAUUUGCAAGAUAUUCUCGUGUCUCGUCAUUUAUCAGCAAUCUUGUAUCGUGUAUGAUUUUAAGUGAUACUGUUAUUUAUCCAGAAAUAUAACUAAUCCAGAUGUUAACUAAAGCUUAUGUUAAAAUCAACUAUAUGUUUUCGUAUAUAAAUUUUUUUAAGGGGCGGCAAAGCCGGGAAAAAAAAUUUGCACUCCUGUCAUUUUAGGGUCGGGGAGGCCCUGAAUCUAAGUAAAAUAUAAAUACGUAUCUGAGUCGUGACUUAACCAAUUCAAACUCAAACUUGGACUUUUAAGAUAGUCUGCUUGAACUACAAAACAUAUUAUCCAUCUAUGCCGCCCCUCAGAAAAAGUCAAGGGUGCAACCGCACACCUUGCACACCCUUAAGGGAGGCCCUGCUCAAUACGUCACGCAAGGGAGAAGAAGUGUCUGAAGAAACAAGAAGAAUCUGUCAAAAAAGGAAACUUUAUUCAAGUAACAGCGUUCCAACAAUGACUCCUGAGGGAAAUAAAAAUUCUUCGUGGUCAGGUACAAGGUACAAGAACUUUGCCAUCCUCCAAAUGGAUUGCUGAGAGCGCAGAGACCCAACCACUUUCCACGUACUUGAUUGCUUCAUGAAUGGUCUUGAUUGCAUUAAGUUGCAUUUUUGUAUCCCUGCUGUCUUGCAAUUAAAUACAUGUAAAGCUCAUGCUCUCU